ensembl:lncRNA
GCCCUACUGCCCCAAGAGGGUUGCCCCAUUGCCACUGCUGAAGCAAGCUUACCACAGGUAGCAAAAUGUCUCGGGCCGGCCCCAAUCCCUCCCUGUCUUGAUUCCUUUCUCUGCCCUGUACCAGGAUGGCGAAGUUGACAUGAGUUCCACAGGCUCCAUGAUUUCUCCAUUUUGGGAGGAGUCAGCUGCUUACUCUGAGGCAGACAGCGGCUCCAGGGCGAUGGCAGGCAGCUCCUGCAGUGCGGCUGCAGAAGAGGCAGGUGGGCACCAGCCUCCCCGCCCUCGCCCACCGUGCCGGGAGAAGGCCUUUGUGUGGCUGUCCCGCCAGGAGAAGGAGGCGGCUCUGCGGCGCUUGGCGGAACUUCAGGCCGAGGGAGAACGGCGGCACCAGCGGGACAAGGAGCGCCAGACCCUGCGGUUCCAAGAGAGGCUGUCCAUCGCCAAACACCGCAAAUCUGAAGACGACCUUCUGGGAAGCAGUCCGGCAGAGUUCUGGCCUCUCCCAUCAGAGUACGAGGGCCAGCAAGACCAGGCUGGACAGAAAACCGCAGUGAAACUUCACUUGGAGAAGGUGAAGAGAGAGCGGACCUAUGUCAUGCAGUCCAAGAGGGAGAGGAACACGCUGCGAUUCAAGGAGCUCCUGAACCCACUGGUGGCCGAAGAAGAGGAGAUUCCUGAGCAAGAACAGCCUGGAGACUCGUGAACAGAGCAGGAGGAGGACGUGCCCCUCGGAUCCGCCCCCCUUCCGCCUGCCUUCCUGCAGGACCCACCUUCCUCAUGGGUUUCUAAGCCUAUUGCUAUUUCAACUUUUCGAAAGCCUUCAAUGGUUGUUCCGAUUUCCCCUUUGCAAUAAUUGUAUGGCUUCACCUCUGUUAUGAGAAUUCUAAGGUCUCAAAUAUAAAUUAAACGCUCAUAAAUGUACAAGGCGGGAGGCGGGUGGCGCUGUGAGUUAAACCACAGAGGAUGUGCUGAUCGGAAGGUCGACGGUUCGAAUCCCCGUGACGGGGUGAGCUCCCGUUGCUCUGUCCCAGCUCCUGCCAACCUAGCAGUUCGAAAGUACCUCAAAGUUCAAGUAGAUCAAUAGGUACCGCUCCGUCGGGAAGGUAAACGGUGUUUCCGUGCGCUGCUCUGGUUCGCCAGAAGUGGCUUAGUCAUGCUGGCCACAUGACCCGGAAGCUGUACGCCGGCUCCCUCGGCCAAUAAAGCGAGAUGAGCGCUGCAACCCCAGAGUCAGCCACGACUGGACCUAAUGGUCAGGGGUCCCUUUACCUUUAAAUGUACAAGGCAAACACAUACAUAAGUAUAUGAACCAUGUGUCUGAAAUAGUACAGGAGUGCAAUCCUGAAGCCAUUUUGACUCUCUCAAUGACCUCAAAUAUUCCUCUGCAGGAAGGGAGGCAAAUGGGGAAAGCCUUCCCAUUGUCUUUUUGCUUACAAAUCCUGUCUUAAGGAUGUAUUUGUGUAUGAAUAAGGUGAGCCUGUGACCUGGAUUCAGGAACUAAAGUAUUAACCAUCACAAAAGAAUGGCCAGGCUGCCCAGGCAAUGCAAUCAGUGUCCAUUAUCAGGUGUCCUGGCAAACAGGAUUUCUGCUGUAGACCACCUCCUUCUGUGAUGUAUGUUUGAUGCUUUUUGGGGGUGGUCUUGGGCUACAGGGUGGGCAAUUUCAAAAGUCUAUUUAAGGGCUUGAGCACCAUUGUUCGGGGUUCUCCUCCCUCCUGCGUGGGGUGAGUGGGGACCCUGUUGCAACAGUUCCUUGAAUAAAGAUCAGGCUUACUAGCCGCUUUGCUUCUCAAACACUCUGGUUGGCCUCUGUGAUUUUCUGGAAGGGACCCAAAGGCUAAUCUAUUUCGACCCCCGUCAAUUCCUACUUGGCUUUAAACUGUUUGCAAUAUUGUGCAAUGCCAUCUUUCGAUAUAUUAAUAACUUGAAUGGUUGCAACCAGCCCUGGGACCUUAGGGGGACGGCCAAGCAAUAUGUGGUCACCAUAAUCUUAAUACUAUUACGUGGCACCCAAAUCUCUAAGCGGAGCGAUAUCCCAGGGCUCGGUUUCCUUGGAACAGGCAACAGUGGAGACCGUGGUGUCUUUAGGAUAUAUGGUUUAUUUGCACAGCAUAUAUACAACCUGAGCCCAAGAUGGAGGGGCUCGCAGACUUAACACCCCCAAAGGUCUUGCUUCUUCCAUACUGACAGCCUUGGAAUCAAGCGCCAAACAAACUGAUCAUUGCACUGAACAGCCUUUGUCUAACUCGGAGUUUCCCAAACUUGAGUCUCCAGCUGCUUUUGGACUACAACUCCCAUCAUCCUUGACCACCGGUCCUGCUAGCUAGUGAUGAUGGGAGUUGUAGUCUGGAGGGGGGAAAAGAUUGGGAAACCCAUGUCUAUUCAAGAGAAGGAAUGGCAGUACUUAGCGUGGCAACUACAGCCAUUAUCCCACAAAGAAACUUGCUCCUUGGUUCAGCAAUGGAAUCCUCCAUUGGAUUUCAACCCUUGCAGGAUCCAGGACUAAAAUAAUAGUAUUAUUAUUAUUAUUAUUAUUAUUAUUAUUAUUAUUAUUAUUAUUAGCAAUGCCACUUCUAGAAAACCAUUUUUUGCAGAUAAACACAACUGGAAGCUUUUUUUCUCUCCUUUAGUGCGGCGAGGGGAAUGCAAUGAAACUUCAUGGAAAUCAGCUUUUCCCCCAGCAAAACCUGCUGGAGGGUCCAGGGGCUGAGAGGCUGCAGGAAGAGCCUCUUCCCAAACUGGAAGGAAAGAGCCACCACCCCUGCCUCUCUGCGAGUGUGUGAGUGUGGAGGUCCUUCACUGCUGGGCCCUGCCGUUCCCUCGCCACGAACCCCUUCGCCACGAUCCGUCCUGUUGACUUG